rnacentral:rRNA from 1 species
UUUGACCUCAGCUCAGUCGUGAUUACCCGCUGAAUUUAAGCAUAUAAUUAAGC